rnacentral:rRNA from 1 species
UACGUAGGGUGCAAGCGUUAUCCGGAAUUAUUGGGCGUAAAGAGCUCGUAGGCGGUCUGUCGCGUCUGCUGUGAAAACCCGAGGCUCAACCUCGGGCCUGCAGUGGGUACGGGCAGACUAGAGUGCGGUAGGGGAGAUUGGAAUUCCUGGUGUAGCGGUGGAAUGCGCAGAUAUCAGGAGGAACACCGAUGGCGAAGGCAGAUCUCUGGGCCGUAACUGACGCUGAGGAGCGAAAGCAUGGGGAGCGAACAGG